CUCACUCUCUCUCCUGCCUGCUGCCCUCCCUGGCUUUUUGCAGGAUAUCAGGGGUGGGUUCCAGAACAUGCUCCUGUGCUUGGACCCCUGUUCAGGUACAUAAUCCUGGCCAGGGAGGCCCCAGUGUGAGAGGGACCAGGGGACCGUGACAGAGGCCCAUCCCCCCGGGGACUGGGAGCCUCACGGGAUAGGACCUUUGCUCCUCAGAGGUCCGGGUCAGAGUCCCUGUGGGUUCACGAAGUGAAACUUCUGUUCGCUGAGCCUCCUAGCAAGGCAGUGUCAGGGCUUUCUGUGACAUGCAAGGGCUCAGGCUUUGUGAGGGGAGUGAGGAUGCCUGGCUAAGAUGAGGACGCUGGGCUCACAGACAUCAGGGGAGGUGCCUGCGGCCUCUUGGAGGAGCCAAGAACACAAAACCCCCAGGUACAAGGUGAGACACCUCAUCUCCACCACCUAAUCGUCAAGUCAACCCUGCGUCUCCCCUCCCUUCACUCAGAGACUGAGGAGGAAGCUGACACAUCCGCCUUGUCCGUAGGGAAGAAAAGGCAACAAAGCUCUCAACCUACAGUUUUUACUAAGUAAUACUGAUGCUAGAGUGAUGGAGACUAAGCUUCACCCAACAAACCCUGGGGCAGCACAGAAUGGGAGGAUGGAACACGAGGCAUUUCUGGCAACAGUGGGGCAGAGAGCUGAGAAGAGCCUGGCCUGGGACCCGUCUUCACUCCUGUCUUCGUCUGCUUGGGCUGCCACAAGAAGGGAGAUGACCCAAAGCCUGGAGGAAGCCGAACACAAAAAGGCCUAGGCAGCUCUGGAGGGCGCCAUGAAGUUGGAAAAGGCUGACAACCACAAGCAAACUGCCCAGAGACCCUGUGCUCCCUCCUUCCCACCACACACAGCACAGAAACAUCUUGUGAAAGUGAAGGUCAGCUCGAAGUAAACAGGUUAGUAAUGGUUAUUGCCAGUGCUUUAUUAAUUAGGUGUCCUGAAUACAUGUAAACCUGGGUGUUUAAUUUAGAUUUAUA
rnacentral:lncRNA from 1 species